rnacentral:lncRNA from 10 species
CCGCCCCCCGCGGGCUUAACCCUCUAGCCGCUGGGCACGCGCGGGCUACCGGGGCGGAGGCGUACGGGGGCGGCGAGCGGGGCUCGGCUCCUCCUCGUCCCGCGCCAGCGCCGCGCCCGGCCGCAUUCUCGGGGCCCGAGGCUCAGCCGCUCGCGGUGGAGAAAGCAGGCCGCGGAGGAGGCGGGCGCCCAGGCCUGCCCGGACAGGAAGUGGGCCCAGCUUUCCCACUCCUCGCUCCGCUCCUUCCUCCGCGGGAAGGGCAGGCCCCGGAGGCAGCGAGCGCCCCGGGGGUGGCCGGGCAGCCGGAUGCUCCCGGGGUUGCGGGCUGUGGCCCCGGGGGCUGAGGGCGGCGCGGGUGCGGCGGAAGCAGGGAAGCCGCGAACCGGCCUUCUGGCUGGCCACAGCGCCCUGCACGGACGAUCAGUGAAUGGAGAUUACUCAAGUAUUUAUCGAGAACUUGCAGUGGGCUAGGCACAGUUCAGGUAGAUCAACAAACCGAAAGACCCUGCCCUAGGGGAGCUUUCGCUCCAAUGCGGGGAGAGGGUGGAUGAUUGCAGUUUUGCCCAGUAAUUUUUGGGACCCUCAUGCCACCAUUAAUUAGCUACACACAUUUCACCGAAAGUCUACCUUACAUAUUAAUCAGAAGAAGUGGAAGAAUAAACACAGAAGAAGCAAAAAAGGAAGGAACUUUCUCACUGAAAGUUUCUAUUUAAUAUUAAGUCUUAAAAGUACUCCUGGAAGGACAAAAGGUGUUCUUAAUAAAUUAUAUUCGCAAAUAUUGGAUUUAAUCCUACCAGUAAUGAAGCAGUCAGUUACUUUCUAGAUGUGCAGAAAUACGUAAUGAACAAAAAAAACUAAUUCCUAUUCCAUUUUUUAUUAGGUCCACAGUUAUUUCACUUCUAAAUAAAUAUGGUUUUUUAAAAGUGGCACGCGGUGGAAUGUAAUUGAGACAGGAUGGAGUUCCUAGAGAAAUUUUACUUCCUCAAUCUGCACUCCACCUUACUUAAAAUACAGUCUUGGGUCUGUAAUUCCCUUAUCUGACUCUCAAGGAAAUGACAAAGUAAUGCCUAGAUUGGACUAAACCUCAUUUAACUUCAAGGCUGACCUUUCUCAAAGUUGAACCUUCGUCUUGUGAGGAACAGAAAGAUCAAGAACUCUGAAGCACCUCGACUUUCCACCUGUGAAGAUGUGUUCAAAUUUGCAACGUGCGGCCACACCUAUGAGGUCACUCCCUCUGGAGGAAACCAGCUGCCACUUUGUGAGGAUACUCAUAGUCCUGUGGAGGCAUAUCCUCCAUAUGGCUGAGACCUCCUGCGAACAACCAUCACUGACUUGCCAGACAUGAGUGUGCCACCUUGGAAGCAGAUUUUCCAGCCCCAGUUAAGCCUUCAGAUGACAUCAGCCCCUGCUAAUCUCUUGACUACAACCUCAUGAGAGACCCUGAGCCAGAACUAGCCAGGUAAGCCACUCCUGAAUUCCUGACCCACUGCACCUGGGAGAGAAUAAAUAUUUGCUGUUUUAAACCACUAAAUUUUAUUGUAAUUUGUUAUACAGCAAGAGAUAGCUAAUACACACUGCUAAAGCUUACAAUCUUUUAGAAUUGACUGAGACAUCAUUACAAUUCAGUGUGAUGAUGGUGACUCUAAGAACAACCUGAAAUAUGCACACUCUGAGUACAAGGAAAAGGUAACCUAAUUCUCUCUGGGGUGUAAGGGAGGAGGUCAUUUGGGCUGGGCCUUUACCUGACAAAUGGUACUGACAGAGAAUGCAGAAAAGGAGUGAUAGAUGAAUUUGGAGAGUUAAGAUAGAACUGGAUUGUGGCAGGUUUUGUAUGCUGUGAUAAAGAAUUGUGACUUUAUUCUGCAAACAAUGGGAAGGAAUGGAAAGUUGGUGUUUUUUGUUUAUUUGUUUUUGAGAUGGAGUUUCCCUCUUGUUGCCCAGGCUGGAGUGCAAUGGCACCAUCUCAGCUCACUGCAACCUCCACCUCCCGGGUUCAAGAGAUUCUCCUGCCUCAGUCUCCCAAGUAGCUGGGAUUACAGGCAUGUGCCACCAUGCCCAACUAAUUUUGUAUUUUUAGUAGAGACAGGGUUUCUCCAUGUUGGUCAGGCUUGUCUUGAACUCCCAACUUCAGGUGAUCCACCCACCUCAGCCUCCCAAAGUUCUGGGAUUACAGGCGUGAGCCACUGUGCCUGGCAAGAAAUGGAAAGCUUUUAAGCAUGACCAGAUCUGUCUUUAGAGGAGAACUAUCAGGAGUAUGGAAGACCAUCCUGAUUUAAACAGGAAGACCACUUUGGAAACUAUUAUAACAGUCCAGUAAAGAAAUGGACACUUCUCUCUUCUUUUUGAGACAGGGUCUCUGUCACCCAGGCUGGAAUGCAAUGGUGCAAUCACAGCUCACUGCAGCCCCAACCUCCUGGGCUUAAGUGAUCUUCUUGCCUCAGCUUCCGAGUAGCUGCGACUACAAGCACACACCACCAUGCCUGGCUAAUUUAUUUCUAUUUUUUGUAGAGACAGGGUCUCCCUCUGUUGCCCAGACUGGUCUCG